UUUAUUUAUUUUUUUUUUUAUUAAUAUUAUUUCAUUCGUUGUGUGUGUGUGUGUGUGUGUAGUAUUAAUUUUUUUAUUAAUAUUUUUUUUUUUAGUUUUCCCAACAUUAGAACAAAACCGAAACAGGAAGAUAAAAUACCACAAAAUUUAUUUAGAUCGGCCUUAAUUCUGUAAAGGGAAAUUCCUCUUAGAUACCGCCCCACAGUUCAAUGACUACUUAACGUGUGUAGUUAUACUCGGCUACAGAAAUAAUGUCUCCGCUUGUUAGUGCCUGAACAAAGUUUUACGACAUCAAUAUUCUCAAUAAAACGGAAAUAUUGACAAAAAAAUCCCUCGACACGUGCUUUAAUCCCUACUCUAGGUACCGCGAAAGUCGCCGACUAUGCGGAGAGACGACAAAGGACUACUUCAGCUUUAAAUUCCGGUUGAAUAGAAUAUUCUUUAAUAUAUAAAAACAGAUUUAAAAUCUUGAUUAUACAAUUAGAUAACAAUAAAUCGAUUUCCAUUUGAAUUCAAAGCCCUGUAUUUAACAUACUGAACAUGAAUAAUACAUCAGAAAUAUUCAAAAAGCAACCAUUUAUCUAUAGACAACUUUUAAGCUUUUGAAACGAAAACAUAGCAUGUUUUACAUAUUUGAGAGAGAGAGAGAGAGAGAGAGAGAGAGAGAGAGAGAGAGAGAGAAGAGAGAGAAGAGAGAGAGAGAGAGAGAGAGAGAGAGAGAGAUGUAGACACGUUGAGUAUAUGGGGACUUUAGUAGUAUACAUUUAAAUGAACAUUUUAUCUGUACUCCAAACAAUUAAAAUUCCAUUUGUCAUUUCAUAAAAGGAAAAUGAAACUGCUCAUAAACAUAGCCGAUACAGUUACCACAAAUAAUAAGAACAUUCCGGCUGAUGGAAUUCGACCUAAGCCUUGUUUACAUAUACCCAGAAACAUCCGAAAUAAAAAUGACGACAAUCGGUCGAGCGUUCAUGCGAUUUCAUCCGUCAGACUUUGUUGAUUUCUAAUGUUAUUUCAGUCUAUAAUGGGCAUAUCGACAUGAAUAUCUACAAUACAAAAUUUAGAAAACUAAAAUCCUUGACGUGUUGGUUUGAUUUUACGAUUUAUGAGUAUGAACUUUUGUAAAUUAAUUUCGUCGAAAUGCUUGUUGGCCUUGAAAUAGGUAAGGGGUGGGUGGGGGUAUUAGAACACAUCAACUGCCACUACCGUGUUCCUCAUUAUUUACACAUAUUUCAGAGAUACAUAAAGACCACUACACGGCCUACAAACCGUCUUAUCAGGGGAUGUACACUUCCUUUAUUUCGAACAAUCAGAGUAAACACUUAAUUGUUACAUUUCUGUUAGCGAGCUAGCAACUUAAAAAUGUCACCUAUGUUGAUAAGGAAAAGGGGAUAAAAAGCACAUUUUCGCGGUAGACUUUCGUAGGGGGUUAAAUCGAGCCCUGAAAAUUACAAGUUUGUUGAUGGGUGAGAACGGCCUUGCGGGAUUGUAAACAAUUUUGAUAAGGAAAUGAGAUUGUUAUGCCUGAUUUUAUUUGAUUUUUUCUUUUCUUUAGUUCCUGUUUUCUUUUAACAUAUUGAAAUAAUUAGAUUAAGCACACGAUAUACGGGUUUUUCAUUACAUGUAUGACUAAUGGAAGUUAAAAGAGAAAGUAAAAUCGUGAGAAAGCCAUUUCAAAUAUCAGAUUACACCACAUCACAGACGACUCGGUAGGAAAAUGACCCAAUCUUCAGACACCCCCCUCUCUCUUCUCUCUCUCACCUUCCCCCCCUCUCUCUCUCUCUCACCUUCCCCCCUCUCUCUCUGACUCUCUUACUUUCUCUCUCGCUCGCUGACUCUCUCUCUCUCUCUAUCACCUUCCCUCUCUCGCUCACCUCCCUCUCUCUCUCGGACUCCCUCUCUCUCUCUCGCCGACUCUCUCUCUCUGUGACUCUCAUCUCUUACUUUCUCUCUCUCUCUCUCUCUCUCUCUCUCUCUCUCUGCGCUCCUUAUAAAUUCCUUCUGUCCUGUUCUCUAGAUGUACCAACAUUUUCAUAUAAAAAUAAAUGUUUAAUGAAAUACGGGAUCGUCAUGACACUAUGUGUCGUGAUGGAAAUCGUAAUUGGUACUACAGUUCCCGUGACAGAAACAUCAUGUUUGGUGUCCAUACAUCAUCAACUCCCUCAUCACACUAAAUCAAUUCAUUUAUAAAAUAAAUUUGGCAGUAAUUUGAGUUCAUCGUUAAAAGUAAGAGAAACUUUUAACUUCAUUUAACACAUUUUAAUGGAGACCAGUAACACUUACCUUGGGUAUCGGAAUUUAAAUUUUAAACAUCCUGUUGACAGAAAUUUCCCAGUACAAAUGAUUCACUUAUAAACACGUGUUGAAAUCUACAGGUAACAAUUUGUGUUGUUUACAAAGGUGUUAGUCAACGAUCCGAAAAAACAUGCUUUCUACACCGGAGAUAGUUGCAGCCGUUAUAACUGCUGACGGUAUACAAUGUGUUAU